GGAGGUGGAGGGAGCAACUUCCCCCAUGCAUUAUCUGAAAAGUUCAAAAUAUAUUUUAAUUUAACCCAAAUUUUCUCGUUCUCCUCUCAGCUUCCUUUCUUCUGUGGUUGUUAUGCCCAACUUGUUUCGUUUCUCCUCCACCUUCUCUUUUCCUGACAUCACUGGGGGUCGAUGCUGUGGUACUGGUAGUCGAACUCCUCGCUGCCAGAUUUUGCAUCCUUCUUCACAGUCACCACAUAAUGGGCAGGGAUAUAGAAGCAUAGAUAAUAAGAGAAGUUGCAAUUCACUGACGAACGCUAUGAAUCCCUGCACUAAUAUUGUGAACUCCGUUCAAGUUCCUUUUCCUUUGUUCAUCAAGUCUUUUAGAUCAGUUCCAUCGUUCAAAUGCUUCUGCCGGAGCUCAGAUGAAAAGGGAAGUGACGAUGUGAAGGACCCACUGUAUGGGUUGGUUGACAAGCAAGUUCAAGAACUAUUGAGCAGAGAAGAGAACAAGAUUUUGCUAGAUGGUUUAGAGAAGGCGUCGCAGCGGGUUGAGAUGGCUAAGAGAGAACUUGAAUUGAUCCAAAAACAAGAAUUAGCUGUCAAGCAGCUGAAGGAUUACGUCAACCAGCUGGAAGGCGAAGUUCUCGAGAUUGAAGAAUGUCAAAGAGACAUAUCAGAGGCAAAAGCCAUGGUGGAGAAAGCAGAGCAGUCUCUGUUGGUAAAUAUGGGAGGCCCUGAAGGUGGCGGUACAUCCAUGGGGAUGAAAAGUGAAGAAACUGAUCGAGAUGAAGAGAGAUGGGAGUCAAUAAAAGCAGCAUCAAUUUCUGCCCUUGUUGGUACCGUUUCAGGUCUCCCCAUAUGUUUCACUCAAGUCACCGACACAACUCAGCUGCUUCUUCCUUUGACAAUCAACUUCAUUAGUUGUGCAUUGUUUGGAGUGACUUUUCGUUACACUAUAAGGAGAAACUUGGAUGAUGUUCAACUUAAAACAGGGGUUGCAGCAGCUUUUGGUGUUGUUAAAGGUCUCGGAACCCUAAGUGGUGGAUCACUCCUUGAGCCAAACUUUCAAAGCUUCUUAUCACAUGCCCAAGACGGAACAAUUUAUGAUUUCUGCUAUGUGGAUAGGCAUUUCGCUACGGCUUUUGAAAACGAAUUAGUGAGUAUGUGGUCGUUGCAGGACAAUCACGGUCACACAUUUGGUAACCUAUAAUAUUAACGUAAUGCAGCCUAGAAUUACGACUGGAUGGUCUUCACUGAAAAACGUAUAUCAUGAAAGGGUUAACGAUGCCCACGUAACCUUCCAGUAUCUCGGUAACAACAACUUCAAAAUUAUAAUAUACUUUGGUCCUUGCACCAAGAAGAGUAAGCAAUAUUUCAUUGAUCUCUGUACUUAUGAUCCUGAUUCUUCAUUGUUCGCUGUCAAAUUGACUAAAUCACAAUGUGAAGGAAGUCAUUUGGACUUACGAACAACAUUUGGGAAUGAAAUUAGGAACAAAGGGUUCACAGAGGUUCUGCUUCUUGGUCAUAUGGAUGGCAUCAAGUGCAAGGUUUUGGUUUCACAUACUAGGAAUUCAACAAAGUUUGGAAGAGGUUGGAAAGAUUUUUGCGCCCAAUAUGGUUUGAAGGAAGGAGAAGUUGUUGUAUUUGAGGUUGACAAACAUUGUCAUGUGUUGAAAGGCUUUUUGGUCGCACAAAAAGUCAACAAAACCUAAUCCCCACUAAUGUAUUAUAGGGUUGA